AGCUUUGUUCAGCGGCAGUACCGUAGCCAAUGAGGUUCAUCCAAGGCACAAUUAUUGCUAAUUGAAAGUUGGGUUUAUGAUCACACCCAUCUGCUCCUUCUUUGAACUCUGGUGUGACCCUCAACCACAGAUGCUGCCUUGUACAGAUAUGGAAAUGUUCUUCAUGCCAAUUCAU
rnacentral:snRNA from 1 species